AACAUUUUCAGAGAGCCUUUUGGAAAGAACAAGUCGACUUCAAUAAAUGAAGGAGAAUAAAGAAAAUCCAAGCCCCUCAGUAACUUCAGCAAACCUGGACCACACAAAACCAUAUUGGUACUGGAAUAAGAGAGACUUGGCUCAUACACUCUCACAACUCGAAGGGCUUGAUCCAGCCACUGAGGCCUGGUACCGCCGAGAAGGGGCUCGGUUCAUCUUCGAUGUGGGCACACGUUUGGGGCUACACUAUGAUACCCUGGCAACUGGAAUAAUUUAUUUUCAUCGCUUUUAUAUGUUUCAUUCCUUCAAGCAAUUCCCAAGAUAUGUGACAGGAGUGUGUUGUCUAUUUCUGGCUGGGAAAGUAAAAGAAACACCAAAAAAAGUAAAGAUAUCAUCAAGACAGCCCGUAGUUUAUUAAAUGAUGUACAAUUUGGCCAGUUUGGAGAUGACUCAAAGGAGGAAGUCAUGGUUCUGGAGAGAAUCUUGCUGCAGACCAUCAAGUGCGACCUCCAGGUAGAAUAUCCCUACCAGUUCCUACUCAAAUAUGCUAAACAACUCAAAGGUGAUAAAAACAAAAUUCAGAAGUUGGUUCAAAUGGCAUGGACAUUUGUAAAUGACAGUCUCUGCACCACCUUGUCACUGCAGUGGGAGCCAGAGAUCGUAGCAGUAGCAGUGAUGUAUCCCGCAGGAUGUUUGUGCAAAUUUGAAAUACAAGAAUGGACCUCCAAGCCCAUGUACAGGAGACGGUGGGAGCAGUUUGUUCAAGAUGUCCCAGUUGAUGUUUUAGAAGACAUCUGCCACCAAAUCCUGGAUCUUUACUCCCAAGAAAAACAACAGAUGCCUCAUCACCCAAGAAGCCGUCGCCACAGCCCAGUCCUCCCCGGCAGGUGAAAGGAGGCGUGGUUGUUUCUCCCAAAGAAGAGGACAAAGCAGCAGAACCACCACCGCCUAAAAUCCCCCAAAUUGAGACCACUCACCCACCAUUGCCUCCGGCCCACCCACCUCCAGACCGGAAGCCGCCCCUGGCGGCUGCCUGGGGCGAGGCCGAGCCGCCGGGCCCCGUGGACGCCAGCAGUUUACGCGGGAAAGCAGCAGGGACCUUGGGUAGCGAGCCAGCUGCAGCCUGCAAGGAGGGGACCAGGCCCUGGGAUGAAAUCGAGUGGCCCUCACAGCCGGAGGGCGGGGACAGCCACGCUCGGCGUAGCCCGGCAUUGCCCCUUGCUGUCGGACCGUGCGCACUUGGUUUCAGCGCCUGGGUUACUUGA